GGGAAACUAUCAAAACAUCUAACAGAAGUAAAAUAGAAAAAAAUGAACAAGAUAAAAAAUUACCAAUCCUUGAUCUUUGAAAAGAUUAACAAAAUGAUGAACCUCUAACUAGACUGAUGAAGAAACAAAAAUUAAAGAAAACACAAAUUACCAACGUCAGAAAUGAAAGAUGGGCUAUUACUACAGUCCUACAGACAUUAAAAGGAAAAAUAAGUAAUAUUCAGAAUAAUAUUAAUUAAUAUUAAUACCAACAAAUUUGACAACUUAGAUGAAAUGGACAAAUUCCUUGAAAAACAAAAUUUACCUAGAUGAGCACAAGAAUAAAUAGCAAAAUCUAAAUAUCCCUAUUUCUAUUAAAAUGUUUGAAGUUACUAUCAAACACCUUCCUACAAAGAAAGUUUUGGGCUAAGGUGGUUUCACUAUUGCAUUCUAUCAAACGAAGAACUCUAAUCUUAAUGCAAACUUAGAAAAAAAGAUAAGAAGGAAAUACUUUCCAACUCAUUUUAUGGGGCCAGCAUGAGCCUAAUACUCAAACCUGACAAAUACAUUAUGAAUUAUGAAAGACCAUUGUGAAUAUAGAUUCAAAAAUACCUAACAAAAUCUUAGUAAAUUGAAUCCAGCAAGACACAAAAAUAAUGAUACAUCAGGAUUUAGGUGGAUUUAUCUAAGGAAAACAAGGUAGGUUUAACAUCAGAUAAUUAAUGCAAUUUACCACAUUAAUAGGAAAAUGAAAAUAAAAACAUGCAAUCAUUUUCAUAAAUGCAUAAAAGGUGUUCAACAAAAUUCACACCCAUGCAUGAUAGAAAUUUCAGCAACUAGGAAUACAAGGGAACAUUCUUAAGCUGAUAAAGGGUAUCGGCAAAAAAAGAAGCCCCACAAGUACCAUCAUACCUUGAGGUGAAAUACUGGACAUUCUCAUUCUAAGAUUGGGACCAAAGCAAGAAUUCUCAAUCGCACCACUUCUUUUAACAUUAUGACGGUGGUUCCAGAAAAUGUGAUAAGGCAAGGUAAAAAAAUAGUAGAGAUCACAAAGGAAGAAGUAAAAUUGACUUUAUUCACAGAAGAUAAUCUUAUUUCCAACUGCUUGUGGCUAAUAUAUAAAACCACAAUUGAUUUUUUAUAUUAACUUUGUAUCCUAUAACUUUUUUGUUUCAAAGGUUUCUUAGGAUUUUCUAAAACAGCACAAAUUGUGAAGGCACAGUUGAUAAAUAUGACUCAAUUAAAAUCAAGACUACAUAUGUAUCAGUAUGUGACAGAUGAGUAAAAAGUCAAGUCUUGAACUCGGAGAAGAUAUUUGGAGCCCACAUAAUUGACAGAGGAUUGCUAUCAAGGAUACACAAAGAACUCCUACAAACUAAGGCCACAAAGGACAAACAUGGUUUUUAGAAUACACAAAUAUGAAAUGUAAGGUAAGGGAAACCUAAGUAGUCAAUAAGGAUGUGGAAAGAGGCUCCACCUCACUCAUAACUGAUAAUUACAAAAUAAACUAACAUUAGAAUGACAUAUCACCAAAUGUUGAUAAGGGUGCAGAGAAUUAGGAACUCUUAAAUUUGGUAGGGUAUCAUUGACACAUCCACCCUGGCAAGCAUUUGGGCGAUACCUAGGAAAUCGAACAAGUCCGUAUCGUUCCAAAAGGAAGAAACUGGGAAUAAUAUACCUAAUUGCCUAUCAGUAGGGGAAUGCAUUCUAUGUUAAAUUAAAUGAAUCAGACCUAUUGAUCAAUAGAAAUAAAUUUCAAAAUUUAACUGUACAAUAUAAGAUGAAAAGCCUGCAUAUUAUGGUAUCAUUUCUGAUUUUUUCUUUUUUUUUUGGCUGUGCUGUGCAACACGUGAGAUCUUAGUUCCCUCACCAGGGAUCGAACCCAUGCUCCUGCAGUGGAAGCAUGGAGCCUUAACCACUGGACCGCCGGAAGGUUGAGAGAGGAUGGUCCUGUGGGAUCGAGCGACGGAAAACUGGAUUCAAGCUUUCGUGGGUGUCCCCGCAUGCCUGAGCUGUGGUUUCCUGAUGGGCAACUAGGACGCCUUCCGAGAUACUGGAACUGCCACUGGAGAGGAAAAGCUAACUGCAUGGUGACCAGACUGCAGCCAUGACAUAAGCUACUCCAUCUUGAGCAGUACUGAGUCUGUGGCUAUAGCACAAUUCCAGGAACUGGUCUCAAGAGAAUGGGAUUAACAUCAUUGCUCAUAGUAAUCUAUAUUUUUGUGGGCAUCAAAAUAAUUGUAGCUUGCUCUGCCCGUGUCUGUAAGCGGGCAACCAAAACUGUCAGCCCAGAGAUGCUACAGACCCAUGUUGACAUCUUCUGCUCUGAGAAUACGGCAUCCUAUUCAGCAUGAAGAAGUGACAGAAGAUGGACUUUUGCCCAUCAGUUACAGAAGGCGGACUUUUGCCCAUAACCCUUUAGAACUGGAGUGAUGUCUGACAAGUGGGGAUUUGUUAAGCAGCUCUUUUGCCCCUUUCCUGUGUCCCCUUUUCUGUUCCCCUCUAACCUUACAAAGAACCUAAUUAUAGGAAUGAGAUCACUAAGCAAUUGAAACUAACUCCUGACGUGUGCUCUCCUCAAUGCCCACCAUGCCGUGUCUGAUCUGUUGCUUCUUU